rnacentral:rRNA from 1 species
UACGUAGGUCCCGAGCGUUGUCCGGAUUUAUUGGGCGUAAAGCGAGCGCAGGUGGUUUAUUAAGUCUGGUGUAAAAGGCAGUGGCUCAACCAUUGUAUGUAUUGGAAACUGGUAGACUUGAGUGCAGGAGAGGAGAGUGGAGUUCCAUGUGUAGCGGUGAAAUGCGUAGAUAUAUGGAGGAACACCGGUGGCGAAAGCGGCUCUCUGGCCUGUAACUGACACUGAGGCUCGAAAGCGUGGGGAGCAAACAGG